rnacentral:rRNA from 1 species
AACGCUAGCUACAGGCUUAACACAUGCAAGUCGAGGGGCAGCGCAGUGUAGCAAUACAUGGGCGGCGACCGGCGCACGGGUGCGUAACGCGUAUCCAACCUUCCCGUUACUCUUGGAUAGCCUUCCGAAAGGGAGAUUAAUACAAGAUGGUAUUCAAAUUCCGCAUGUUAUUUGAAUUAAAGAUUUAUCGGUAACGGAUGGGGAUGCGUGACAUUAGAUAGUAGGCGGGGUAACGGCCCACCUAGUCUACGAUGUCUAGGGGUUCUGAGAGGAAGGUCCCCCACACUGGAACUGAGACACGGUCCAGACUCCUACGGGAGGCAGCAGUGAGGAAUAUUGGUCAAUGGUCGGAAGACUGAACCAGCCAAGUAGCGUGAAGGAUGAAGGUUCUAUGGAUUGUAAACUUCUUUUAUACGGGAAUAAGACACCUUACGUGUAGGGUCUUGUAUGUACCGUAUGAAUAAGCAUCGGCUAACUCCGUGCCAGCAGCCGCGGUAAUACGGAGGAUGCGAGCGUUAUCCGGAUUUAUUGGGUUUAAAGGGAGCGUAGACGGGAUGUUAAGUCAGUUGUGAAAGGCUGCGGCUCAACCGCAGCACUGCAGUUGAUACUGGCGUCCUUGAGUGCGGUUGAGGUAUGUGGAAUUCGUGGUGUAGCGGUGAAAUGCUUAGAUAUCACGAAGAACUCCGAUUG